rnacentral:rRNA from 1 species
AGCGAACGCUGGCGGCAGGCCUAACAUAUGCAAGUCGAACGAUUAAAGCUCUCUUCGGAGAGUGCAUAGAGUGGCGCACGGGUGAGUAACACGUAAGUAAUCUACCCUCGAGUGGGGAAUAACGUCCGGAAACGGGCGCUAAUACCGCAUAAUGCAGCGGCAUCAUAAGAUGACAGUUGUUAAAGAUUUAUCGCUUGAGGAGGAGCUUGCGGCAGAUUAGCUAGUUGGUAAGGUAACGGCUUACCAAGGCUACGAUCUGUAACCGGUCUUAGAGGACGGUCGGUCACACUGACACUGAAUAACGGGUCAGACUCCUACGGGAGGCAGCAGUCGGGAAUUUUGGGCAAUGGGCGAAAGCCUGACCCAGCAACGCCGCGUGAAGGAUGAAGUAUUUCGGUAUGUAAACUUCGAAAGAAUAGGAAGAAUUAAUGACGGUACUAUUUAUAAGGUCCGGCUAACUACGUGCCAGCCGCCGCGGUAACAC